AUUGAACGCUAGCGGGAUGCUUUACACAUGCAAGUCGAACGAGUGGCGGACGGGUGAGUAAUAUCUUGGAACGUGCCCAGUAGCGGGGGAUAACUACUCGAAAUAGUGGCUAAUACCGCAUCCCAUUGGCUCGGCCGAUAUCGGAUUAGCUAGUUGGUGGGGUAAAGACUAACCAAGGCAACGAUCCGUAGCUGGUUUGAGAGGACGACCAGCCACACGGGGACAGAGACACGGCCCAGACGCCUACGGGAGGCAGCAGUGGGGAAUGUUGGACAAGGGGGGAAACCCUGAUCCAGCCAUCCCGCGUGUAUGAGAAGGCCUUCGGGUUGUAAUGUACUUUUGGCAGAGAAGCGGUAUCUGCAGAAUAAGCACCGGCUAACUACGUGCCAGCAGCCGCGGUAAUUC
rnacentral:rRNA from 1 species